CGAUCUCGUCUGAUCUCGGAAGCUAAGCAGGGUUUGGCCUGGUUAGUACUUGGAUGGGAGACCACCUGGGAAUACCAGGUGCUGUAAGCU
rnacentral:rRNA from 1 species